rnacentral:rRNA from 1 species
UUGACCUCGGAUCAGGUAGGGAUACCCGCUGAACUUAAGCAUAUCAAUAAGCGGAGGAAAAGAAACCAACAGGGAUUGCCUCAGUAACGGCGAGUGAAGCGGCAAAAGCUCAAAUUUGAAAUCUGGCUCCUUCGGGGCCCGAGUUGUAAUUUGUAGAGGAUGCUUCGGGCGUGGCCGCGGUCUAAGUCCCCUGGAACGGGGCGUCGCAGAGGGUGAGAAUCCCGUCUUCGGCCGGCCGGCUUCGCCCAUGUGAAGCUCCUUCGACGAGUCGAGUUGUUUGGGAAUGCAGCUCUAAAUGGGUGGUAAAUUUCAUCUAAAGCUAAAUACUGGUCGGAGACCGAUAGCGCACAAGUAGAGUGAUCGAAAGAUGAAAAGCACUUUGAAAAGAGAGUUAAACAGCAUGUGAAAUUGUUGAAAGGGAAGCGCUUGCGACCAGAGUCGGCCGCGGGGGUUCAGCGGGCAUUCGUUGCCCGUGCACUCCCCCGUGGCCGGGCCAGCGUCGGUUUCGACAGCCGGUCAAAGGCCCCCGGAAUGUGUCACCCUUCGGGGUGUCUUAUAGCCGGGGGUGCAAUGCGGCCAGUCGGGACCGAGGAACGCGCUUCGGCACGGACGCUGGCUUAAUGGUCGUAAGCGACC